rnacentral:piRNA from 1 species
ACAAAGAUCACUGAAUGUAGUUAC